rnacentral:rRNA from 1 species
GUGGGGAAUUUUGCGCAAUGGGGGAAACCCUGACGCAGCAACGCCGCGUGAGUGAUGAAGGCCUUCGGGUCGUAAAGCUCUUUUAGUGGGGAAGAAUCCCUUUCGGGCUAAUACCUCGGGAGGAUGACGGUACCCACAGAAAAAGUUCCGGCUAACUACGUGCCAGCAGCCGCGGUAAUACGUAGGGAGCAAGCGUUGUUCGGAAUUAUUGGGCGUAAAGAGCGCGUAGGCGGUUCGGUAAGUCUGACGUGAAAUCCCGGAGCUCAACUCCGGAACUGCGUUGGAUACUGCCGAGCUUGAGUGUGGGAGAGGAGAGUGGAAUUCCCAGUGUAGAGGUGAAAUUCGUAGAUAUUGGGAGGAACACCCGUGGCGAAGGCGGCUCUCUGGACCACAACUGACGCUGAGGCGCGAAAGCUAGGGUAGCAAACGGGAUUAGAUACCCGUGUAGUCC